UACGCAGGGUGCAAACGUUGCUCGGAAUUAUUGGGCGUAAAGCGCACGUAGGUGGCUUAGUAAGUCGGAUGUGAAAUCCCCAGGCUUAACCUGGGAACUGCAUUCGAAACUGCUUUGCUAGAGUAUGGGAGAGGGCAGUGGAAUUUCAGGUGUAGCGGUGAAAUGCGUAGAUAUCUGAAGGAACAUCAGUGGCGAAAGCGACUGCCUGGACCAAUACUGACGCUCAUGUGCGAAAGCGUGGGGAGCAAACAGG
rnacentral:rRNA from 1 species